CCAAUUGCACACACACACACACCAGUCAAAAGGUUAAUAGUCUGACAAAAAAAAACUAGAAUAAAUAAACAGGCAGACAGCACUAAGCCAAGGAAUAUAUUGAAAUGCCAAAUAUGUCUGGUGAAGUUAUGCAACGAGAAAUAACAAGAAUAACAACAACAUUUUUCUGCAAGUGCCGAGUGGGAAAAAGCAAUGCCAGAGCACACACAGAGACAAGUGGAGUUGCAGGCUGGACUGCGAGUCUUUUGGAGUGCAUUUGAGGCGGUGUGCGGGGCAUACAAUAAUCUUAUGUGUAAAUACAUAUGAAUUGUAAAUGGGGGCGUGGCACAUACAAUAUGUUACAUGCCACGGAAAAUGGCGCAUAAGUAAAGUGCAAGCUUAAAAGGCAAAUGGCAAAAGAUUUA